rnacentral:rRNA from 1 species
GACGAACGCUGGCGGCGCGCCUAACACAUGCAAGUCGAACGAACGGGCGAGAGCUUGCUUUCUCAAGCGAGUGGCGCACGGGUGAGUAACGCGUGAGGAACAUGCCUCUAAGAGGGGGACAACAGUUGGAAACGCCUGCUAAUACCGCAUAAGCCCACGACCCCGCAUCGGGUAGAGGGAGAAGGAGCAAUCCGCUUUGAGAUGGACUCGCGUCCGCUUCGCUAGAUGGUGAGGGAAAGGCCCCCGAAGGCGACGGUCGGUAGCCGGACUGAGAGGCUGAACGGCCACAUUGGGACUGAGACACGGCCCAGAAUCCUACGGGAGGCAGCAGUGGGGAAUAUUGCAACAUGGGGGAAACCCUGAUGCAGCGACGCCGCGUGGAGGAAGAAGGUCUUCGGAUUGUAAACUCCUGGUGUUGAGGAAGAUAAUGACGGUACUUAACAAGGAAGUGACGGCUAACUACGUG